UAGGUUUAUAUGAUAGAGAGGAGAAGCUGAGCUCUGUGAUAUACAGGUUUAUACGAUGGAGGGGAGAAGCUAAGCUCUGUGAUAUAAAGGUUUCUAUAAUAGAGGGGAGAAGCAGAGCUCUGUGAUAUACAGGUUUAUAUGAUAGAAGGGGAGAAGAUGAGCUCUGUGAUAUAUAGGUUUCUAUAAUAGAGGGGAGAAGAUGAGCUCUGAGAUAUAUAGGUUUCUAUAAUAGAGGGGAGAAGCUGAGCUCUGAGAUAUAUAGGUUUCUAUAAUAGAGGGGAGAAGAUGAGCUCUGAGAUAUAUAGGUUUCUAUAAUAGAGGGGAGAAGAUGAGCUCUGUGAUAUAUAGGUUUAUAUAAUAGAGGGGAGAAGAUGAGCUCUGAGAUAUAUAGGUUUCUAUAAUAGAGGGGAGAAGCUGAGCUCUGAGAUAUAUAGGUUUAUAUAAUAGAGGGGAGAAGAUGAGCUCUGAGAUAUAUAGGUUUCUAUAAUAGAGGGGAGAAGCUGAGCUCUGAGAUAUAUAGGUUUCUAUAAUAGAGGGGAGAAGAUGAGCUCUGAGAUAUA